rnacentral:rRNA from 1 species
AGAGUUUGAUCCUGGCUCAGGAUGAACGCUAGCUACAGGCUUAACACAUGCAAGUCGAGGGGAAACGACAUCGAAAGCUUGCUUUUGAUGGGCGUCGACCGGCGCACGGGUGAGUAACACGUAUCCAACCUGCCGUCUACUCUUGGACAGCCUUCUGAAAGGAAGAUUAAUACAAGAUGGCAUCAUGAGUCCGCAUGUUCACAUGAUUAAAGGUAUUCCGGUAGACGAUGGGGAUGCGUUCCAUUAGAUAGUAGGCGGGGUAACGGCCCACCUAGUCUUCGAUGGAUAGGGGUUCUGAGAGGAAGGUCCCCCACAUUGGAACUGAGACACGGUCCAAACUCCUACGGGAGGCAGCA